CGGAGUUCUCCACAUUCCUGAUCAAAAGCACGUUGCUUUUAACACAACCAUAUUGCUGCUGCAGUCGUGGUGAUGGAGGGGAGCCCUCUCUGUUGUGUGAGAAGCUGUUUUCAGAUGGGAAGAAGACUUCUGUCUUAAGCGCAGUUCCUGUUGUUAGAGGUGGAACCUUAGUAAUAUCUGAAAGAGGGACAGCAGCAAAUAGCUGAAUGCCACUGAUACCUGGAACUGACUCUGGUGUUAAUACAGAAGUUGGAUAAUUAUGCCAUUUCACUUCUCUUAGUCCUGACCACUGAGUUUAAGACACAGAGUUUAUGUCUCCAUCCACACCAAAGAAUCAAGGUUGCAGUAUUCAUUAGUGGGAUGUGUAGAGAUUAAAUUACCCCAGCAAGGUCAAGGGAAACAAUUUCCCCACUGUCCUCCAUCAAGUCAGAAAAGACCAAGAUGUCAUGCUUCUUGAAAUCUCUUCCCUUGCCUUGCCUUGCUUUGCCUCAUCUCCCCUCCUAUCCUUUUCCCUUCCCUGUGUUUUCUUUUAAAGUCCUUGUUGCAUCAGCUAUAAAACAUAAUUAGUCAGUCAUAAACGAAUGUAUAAGAUAGCUUUGCAUGUGUUCAGUGCAUUGCCCAUGUGCAACAUUCUAUUUUCAAUUUUUUUUUCUUAGAUCAUCUAAAAGCAGCAGGGUCCAAUGGACUCAGGUUACAUAUAUUUUACAGAAACAGGGCACAUAUGUGAUUAUUGGAAGAAAAAAAAUGUUUUGAAGUAAUUGCCUACAAAAAAAAGCACAGGGGCUUGAAUUUCUUGCAUAAAUAGCUCAGAUCUCUUCAGCACUCCUGUGAUUUACAGUAAUGUAGUGCUACUAGCUUUCAGUAUACAAACAAGUAUACAAGAUGGCAAUAAAUUUAAGUCCUCCUAAGUUUGUUCUUUUAACAUGUGAAUAUGAAGAAGCACAAACACGAAUAAAACUGACAGUACCUGAUAGUCUGCAUUAAGAAUGAUACCUCUACCUUCCAUGAAGUUGCUAUUUCCAUUUCCAGUGACAUUGCUUAUGUUGAGACAAAGUCAGUCAGUACAACCAUCGCUUUGAUGGGGCCCUGGCUACGCCAGCUCUUCUACUUGCCCAAACUUGCAAACUUCCCAUCAAGUGCGGAGGUCUUUAACAAUCUCUAAGGCAGUAUGAUCACAUAUCGUCCUUCUGAGAGAGUCAUCUUCUGGGCUGUGAUUUUGUUACCAGAAUCAAGGCUGCUACAAUCAGGUGGUUGUCGUAAUGCACUGCAGCAAAAGUUGUUAUAAGAUGUACAGACAGACUUUUCACCACAAGAUACUCUUUGAUCUCAUGUGCAAGAAAGAAGAAAUAAUUGUUAAUUCAGCUACAACAUUUUAAAGUGCUCAACAAAACUAACUAUAUUCUACCUGUGCUAUAGAGAUUUUUCUGUGUAAAGAACAAACAUAAGGAGAAGGAAACAUGCAGAAUUAAUUGUUAUUAUUUUUAUCUAAACAGGUGCCAUUUACGCUUAAAAAGUGACACUUGCAUGAAGAUGUAUAUGUGUGUUCUCAGCUAAUGAAGUUUAACCAUUUCACUUUGAUUAUGCAUGUUAUUGUCCUUCAGAAGAAAACAUCAACAUUGGUGUUUAUGACUUACACACUUACCGAAUAAUGAAAGCAUACUGCAUCUUCAUAAAACAUUUUCUUCAACGAGCUGGCACCAGGAAUGGUUUAGAAGAACCCAAAAUAGAGGUGUCAUUGGCUACGUGUGAAGGAACACAUGCUGGAAAAGAUCAAAUAGUUCCCAUUAAAAGGUAUAUGACUUUACAGCUUAGAUGUACUACAUGUCAAAAUUAAGUAAAGGAAACACUUAGACCACCUCAUCCCCCAAGGGAAUGAGAAUGAGGUUUAAUCUUUUUAUUUUAAAAAUAUCAAAGAGCUACUGUUAAGACAAAUACAGCACGAACCUCAGACACACUAAUCACAAAAUAACCCCACAACCAUUUUCUAGAAAUGAAAAUAAAAAUACAAAUCUGGAAAUAUUCUGCUGAGAGAUGAAUUUUCAAAAUAUGCCAUUUUUCCUUCAAAAGUGAUCUCA